rnacentral:pre_miRNA from 1 species
UUUUUAUUUUCCUCCGUCCGGAAAUACUUGUCCUAGAAAUGGAUGUAUCUAGACUUAUUUUAAUUAAAGAUACAUCCAUUGUAUACAUUUUUAGGACAAGUAUUUCCGGACGGAGGGAGUAGUAU